CCUGCACUCUGCGGUCUUUGCGCCUUAUGGGGUCGCUGCAAGCAGGUUGGAGCCCCAGGGGCUCCGCACACCCUGAUUGAACUGACUCCGCUGAUUCCCGCUGAUCAGUCUUUCUCGGAAAGCCCCUCAGAUUGCUCGUUUGUCUCGGCUCCCUGGACCUGGUCGAGGCUUCAAUCCCGUCCGCCAGGCUUGUUGUCGCUGGCCAAAGUGCUCCUUCUUAUAAUUCACGUUACUGCUCUGCCACCCCAACCAGACUUUCUUGCAAAACUUGGUAUUUCAAUUAGUCUGCAGAUAUUUCUUGAAUACCAAAUAUGUGGAAGUAGCUUUCUUAGUGUGAGAAAAGCAAGAUUUGACUCCCAAGACUCAUCAUCUACGUGGAAAGAUAAAACAAAGACACAAAUAGCUAUAGUAUAAGACGCUCUGCAGUCUCUGGACUGGGCCUUUUCCAAGAGGACACAGAAGAGGAGAGAAUGGCAGCUGUGACCCUAGCAGCCAGAUGGCAGGUUGCAUCAUCCAGCCACCGCUAGGAAAGCCAGAUCCCACAGCCCAUUGUAUGGCACUUCAGCAAGCCUGGAAGUGGUGCAAUGAGUCAGAAGCCUGAGUGUGCAGUGUUGGGCCUGUGGCAAGCAAGGGGGAGAGACUGGCGCUCCCAGGCAGAACGCUGUCCAGCUGCAGGUGGUGCAAUCAAAUGGCUGAGUGUGUUGAGCAGCUCUGGCAGCUGAAGUGGAGAAAAUAGCUGAGGGUCUGUGCAGAGGCAGAGGUAAUGUGACGAAGCACAAGACUCGCAUAUGCCUGAUUGAGUCCUUUUGCUGUUCACUCCAAGCCUGAUUUCCUGCCUCAGGUCCGCCUUCCUCUCUCACUACCUGAGACCUUUAACACGUCUCUCUUCUGUUGAAUCUCACAUCCCUCAAAUCUCCACCUCUUUGCCACCAAAUCCUUACUUUACGUUUUCAGUUUUGCUCUCUUCCAUGGUGAUUAACAGAUUCCUUGUUUACCUCUCUUAACAUCAACUUUCACAUCAAAGUAAAUGGCCUUUCAUGGCACUGUAGCUUCUUGAGGAAGGCAAGGAUGCUUUCCUGGCAGGAUGUUGUGGCAAAAACAAAGCCAGACUAGAAGGUAACAGGCCCUCACUAAAUUUAGGAAAACUCAAGGGCCAUCCACCCUUAAGAGACAAUGGGACUCACUGGGGACCAAUGGGUUUUCAUCCCAAGAUGUUUCAACUCCACUCUACUGCUAUGUGACACCCAUGUACAUGCUUGGGCCAGCUGCUAGUGUCUAGGGCCACAUUAUUCUAAAGUAGAGCCUAUGUGAAUAAAG
rnacentral:lncRNA from 1 species